rnacentral:misc_RNA from 1 species
UCCUAGUUUCCUAGGCAGUCCCAUCAGAGUGCUUCCUUGCGGAUUAGCAACUGACAGCGAGAGUUGCGCUCGUUAAAGGACUUAACCCAACAUCUCACGACACGAGCUGACGACAGCCAUGCAGCACCUGUGUACUCGUCCAAGCUUACGCUUGAAAAACUAUGUUUCCAUAGCGGUCAGGUACAUGUCAAGCCUAGGUAAGGUUCCUCGCGUAGUGUCGAAUUAAACCACAUGUUCCACCGCUUGUGCGGACCCCCGUCAAUUCCUUUGAGUUUUAAUCUUGCGACCGUACUCCCCAGGCGGAUCACUUAACGCGUUAGCUACGACACUGAUCCCGCAAGCGGGAUCAACGACUAGUGAUCAUCGUUUACGGCGUGGACUAC